ensembl:lncRNA
GUGUAUUGUGCAAGGUUAGUGCAAGUCUACUGUUAGGUUUUGUACUCACGGCUGCCUUUGGUAUGCGUGUUUCCUCAGGAGGAAUUGUGGCGACCAGGAGGCAGCACACGGAGAGUACACAGGGAACGGAGACAGAGCACGGAGCACGGGAUAAAGGAGAAGACACGGAACGGGAGUUGGGAUCGCACGGGGGGAUUUAUUGUUGUUCGGAUUGUCACCACUGUAAAUAAACACUGUUGCACUGUAGAGUCCUGCAUUUUGGGUCCUCCUUUCCCCACAUCCCCACGGUCUGCCAGCGAGACCGUGACAGUCACACUGCUAGCGAUCGAUACAGAGAUUCUGUACUGUACAGGAGAGACGUCACGGAGGAGAUCGUCUGCAGCCAUCAGGACGCAGGACACAAUGUGACGUAAAAAAAAAAAAGCAUGCAAACUUGCACUAAUAAAUCCGCGAAACAGCGAGGUGAAAGGUAAACCGCGUUAUUAGCGAGGGACCGCUGUAAUUUUGAAGUUGGAGGGUGACGCUGGGGUGAUGUGCUGCUACCUUCUGGCAGGUUCCUGUGACUACACACUGCUCUACAGGCAUUCAGAUGUAGUCCCUGUAGUCCCUACUCCACAGUGGAGGCUUGUGCUCUUGUACCUGUGUGUGAAACUGAGCCAGCUGAGAGCAUCAGCGACCACAACCGUCCACUUCUUAAACACAGAGGUCUCUGCUGUGGUUUCUCUCGCUCACCAGCAGUUGAGGAUAUCCUGUCCUUAACCCUUACCGAACAAAAACAGGUAAUUACACUGUAGCUGUAAAAAGCUGUUUGUCUACAAGCUUUCAAUUAAAGAGGCGAUAAUCACUGUUAUAUGUUCAAGUGCAUAGUAUGGAGGAUGUCAUAAGGCCUUGAGACAAUCGGAUGCAAAACACAAUAUUUAUGAGUGUUUUAAGUUGUAAAUCGAAACAUGUAAACCGAACAUGACAGGAAGGUUAAACGCAUAUUCACCACUGCAUUCAUUGUUAAAAUCAUUUUGUAAUGUAGGAUCAGCUAAGAACGUAAUAAUGAAUGAAUGUAAUAACUGAGGGGAGUCCUCCGUUUCUCCCUGAAGGCGCAGGAAAGAUGAUGAGGAGGAGGUGUUAACAGUCCACCUCACAGGUGAGACUUGUUGAAACCAGCUGGUUAGGAAGCUGCAGGACUUUGUAUGUUAGUUAACUACCAACUGAUGUCUAAUCCUCCUUUUAUCUUCUUCAUGCUGUACUCAUAGUAACAGCUGAGCUGCAUGUGAAAACAGAAUCACCCGAAAGACUCACAAAGAACAUCAGAGUGGCUCUUUAUUAAUUUAAUGGAUUAAACUCACAUAAAUAAAUAAAAUACAGCCUUCCUGCAACAGCGUCCACAUCUCCCACUCAUGCAGAUUGCUCACUGCUUACCCGACACUCACAAAGCUUUAAACAGGACAUGACUACAGAGUAAAGACAUAAAGUGAUCACUCCACCCGACACCCUGAGAGAACAGCAAACACAAUGAGAAGAGAGUGAAAUACAAAGAUUUGACUGGUCAAAAACACCCACAAGGACUACAGCAGGUUCUACUGCUGCAUUGUAGAGAGAACACUGACCAGCUGCAUGGUACGGCAGCACUACUGCUAUGGACCGCAAAUGCCUGCAGAGAGUGAUAACAACUGUGGAGAAGAUCAUCAGGACUCAGCUGCCCUCUCUGCAGAACAUCUACCAUCGCAGAGUCCAGAGGAGAGCUGCCUCCAUCCUCAAAGACCCCACACACCCCCAACACGGACUGUUCACACUUCUGCCCUCGAGACAAAGGUUUAGAAGUGUGAAAUUUGGAGUUUGGAUUCAGGAGACAGACACUAUCUCUGCUUUUAAGAUUAGGCUUAAAACGUUCCUUUUUGCUAAAGCAUAUAUUAGGGCUGGACCAGGUGACCCUGAAUCCUCCCUUAGUUAUGCUGCAAUAGAUGUAGGCUGCCGGGGGAUUCCCAUGAUGCAUUGAGUUUUUCCUUUCCAGUCACCUUUCUCACUCACUAUGUAUUAAUAGACCUCUCUGCAUUGAAUCAUAUCUGUUAUUAACCUCUGUCUCUCUUCCACAGCAUGUCUUUAUCCUGUCUUCCUUCUCUCACCCCAACCGGUCGC